rnacentral:rRNA from 1 species
UACGAAGGGGGCUAGCGUUGCUCGGAAUCACUGGGCGUAAAGCGCACGUAGGCGGCUUGUUAAGUCAGGGGUGAAAUCCUGGAGCUCAACUCCAGAACUGCCUUUGAUACUGGCAAGCUUGGAGUCCGGGAGAGGUGAGUGGAACUCCGAGUGUAGAGGUGAAAUUCGUAGAUAUUCGGAAGAACACCAGUGGCGAAGGCGACUAACUGGACAUGUAUUGACGCUGAGGUGCGAAAGCGUGGGGAGCAAACAGG